UACGGAGGGGGCUAGCGUUGUUCGGAAUUACUGGGCGUAAAGCGCACGUAGGCGGCUUUGUAAGUUAGAGGUGAAAGCCCGGGGCUCAACUCCGGAAUUGCCUUUAAGACUGCAUCGCUAGAAUUGUGGAGAGGUAAGUGGAAUUCCGAGUGUAGAGGUGAAAUUCGUAGAUAUUCGCAAGAACACCAGUGGCGAAGGCGGCUUACUGGUCCGGUUCUGACGCUGAGGCGGCGAAAGCGUGG
rnacentral:rRNA from 1 species